UACGGGGGGGGCAAGCGUUGUUCGGAAUUACUGGGCGUAAAGGGCUCGUAGGCGGCCAACUAAGUCGGAUGUGAAAUCCCCAGGCUUAACCUGGGAACUGCAUCCGAUACUGGAUGGCUUGAAUCCGGGAGAGGGAUGCAGAAUUCCAGGUGUAGCGGUGAAAUGCGUAGAUAUCUGGAGGAAUACCGGUGGCGAAGGCGGCUCUCUGGGACGGUACUGACGCUGAGACGCGAAAGCGUGGGGAGCGAACAGG
rnacentral:rRNA from 1 species